CCUACGGGUGGCUGCAGUGGGGAAUAUUGCACAAUGGGCGCAACCCUGAUGCAGCGACGCCGCGUGAGGGAAGAAGGCUUUCGGUUUGUAAACUUCUUUUCUCAGGGACGAAAAACGUGACAGUACCUUAGGAAUAAGCGACUGCUAACUACGUGCCAGCAGCCGCGGUAAUACGGAGGGGGCAAGCGUUCUCCGGUUUUAGUGGGUGUAAAGGGGGUGUAGGCGGUAGUGCAAGUCAGAUGUGAAAAGCCAGGGCUCAACCCUACGACUGCAUUGGAAACUGUGUGGCUUGAGUGCUGGAGAGGCAAGCGGAAUUCCGGGUGUGGCGGUGAAAUGCGUAGAUAUACGGAGGAACACCAGUGGCGAAGGCGGAUUGCUGGACAGUAACUGACGUUGAGGCGCGAAAGCGUGGGGAGCAAACAGGAUUAGAUACCCUUGUAGUC
rnacentral:rRNA from 1 species